rnacentral:rRNA from 1 species
CAAAAAUAGGGGGGAACUGGGAGCCGCAAUAGGGGGGGAUAAUCACGGCGCUCAGUUUGAGCUUGCGUCUUAUGGGUGGCGAGUGGCGGACGGGUGAGGAAUACAUCGGAAUCUACCUUUUCGUGGGGGAUAACGUAGGGAAACUUACGCUAAUACCGCAUACGACCUUCGGAUGAAAGCAGGGGACCUUCGGGCCUUGCGCGGAUAGAUGAGCCGAUGUCGGAUUAGCUAGUUGGCGGGGUAAAGGCCCACCGAGGGGACGAUCCGUAGCUGGUCUGAGAGGAUGAUCAGCCACACUGGAACUGAAACACGGUCCAGACUCCACGGGAGGCAGCAGUGGGGAAUGUUGGACAAUGGGCGCAAGCCUGAUCCAACCAUACCGCGUGGGUGAAGAAGGCCUUCGGGUUGUAAGCCCUUUUGUUGGAAAGAAAACAAUCAUUAAUACUCGGUGGUGUGCGGUCCCAAGAAUAAGCCCGGGUUAAUUCUUGCAGCGCCGCGUAAUCAAAGGGGCAGCGUACUCGGAAUACUGGGCGUAAGCUGCGUGGGGGUUGUUAUGUUUUUUUU